UUUCUUUCUGUCAUCCGGCCGUUGGAUUUUUCGCCGCACAUCCAAAUCCCCGGCUCCGCCACCGUCACGCUCUCAAGUCUCGCCGGCGGCGCCAUGCUCCUCGCCAAUCUCCUCCCGCCGGCGCGCUGCCCACUGGCCUCCCCUCUCCGCUGCCAGGCCCCGGCCCACCACCACCAGCCCGCCGUCUCCCGCGGCCUCCUCCUCCGCGGCGCCGGCUCCCCCGUCGUCAAGCGCCUGCCCGCCGGCGACUGGCUCCUCUGGUACCACUCCGGGGCGCGCGUCGCGCUCGCCACCUCCCCCGACGGCCUGCGCUGGAGCCCGCCCGUGGCGCCCGACCCGCUGCUGCCCUCCACCGACUGGUGGGUCUUCGACACCGCCGCCGUCCGCCCCGGCGACGUGCUCGUCAUCUCCGGCCCCGACGCGCCGUCGUCCCGCCGCCUCCCGCCCUCCUCCUCAUCCGCCGUGUACUGGCUCUACUACACCGGCUCCAACGACGCGCGCCUCGCGUCGUCCCCGUUCCCCGCCGCGGACGUCGCCGCGCUGCCCGGCCUCGCCAUCAGCCAGGACGGUCGCCACUGGGCGCGCAUCGAGGGGGGCCACCACACCGGCGCGCUCCUAGGGGUCGGGGAGGACCACCCGCAGGGGUGGGAGAAGCGCUGCGCGGCAGCCCCCAAGGUGGUGAUGCACGCCGACGGGGACCUCCGGAUGUACUACCACUCGUUCGAUGAAAUGUCGCAGAGGCACGCGGUCGGGGUGGCCAGGUCCAGGGACGGCAUCCGGUGGGAGAGGGUGGGGAAGGCGCUUGAGGGAGGCGGGCCUGGGUCGUUCGACGAAGGCGGGGUGCGGCAGGGGCAUGUCGUCCGUGACCGCGCCGCCGGUCGGUACAUGAUGGCAUAUGAGGGUUUGGAUGGCAAUGGUGGGGUGAGCAUUGGGUUGGCCGUGUCGGAGGACGGGCUGAGAGGGUGGAGGCGGUGCAGUGAAUCACCAGCGCUGCGCCCGUCAGAGGAUGAUGAUGAGUGGGACGUCGCUGGGGUCGGCGCCCCGUGCCUGGUGCAAAUGGAUGGGCCGUAUGAUUGGAGACUCUAUUACAUGGGCGUAAGGAAGGAUGGUGAGGCUGCUAUUGGGAUGGCAUAUUCAGAGGGUCAGGGUCUUCCGAAACAAGUGUGACGCUCUUCUCAUGUAAGGACACCAGCGUCAGUUCUCACUAAUCAAUUCUUCCUCCAGUUAAAUCUCUAGCUAUAUGCCACUCAAGCAUUUGUGAACUUAUUCAUUGUUCCAUCGACAAGUUUGGUUCAGGCCAACAUGUUAGACAGCGGUAAACAACAGCUUCCCAGCAGAUCAUCCAAGCUUUCCUUUGCAGGAGGCAACCAUGGUGAUAAACAAGAUGGUACAAUCUUCCACUGGCACAAGGGGUUGAUCUAGUCUGAAAAGCCAUGUGCAGAUGGAAGAACCUGUACCACAAUCUUGAAUAAUGUAAUGUUACAUAGUUAUUUCAAUGGGGUCAUGG